GUCCACGCUGUAAACGAUGACAACUAGGUGCUGGACACCCAAGGGUGUUCGGUGCCGCAGCCAACGCGUUAAGUUGUCCGCCUGGGGAGUACGGCCGCAAGGCUAAAACUCAAAGGAAUUGACGGGGGCCCGCACAAGCAGCGGAGCGUGUGGUUUAAUUCGAUGCAACGCGAAGAACCUUACCUGGCCUUGACAUGCAAGUGGUAGGGGACCGAAAGGCGACCGACCCUCGGGAGCUUGCACAGGUGCUGCAUGGCUGUCGU
rnacentral:rRNA from 1 species